GCACUGUCGAGGAGUCCCACAAUAGGACGAAACGGCCGUCCAGUGU
rfam:Schistosoma margrebowiei strain Zambia genome assembly, scaffold: SMRZ_scaffold0003483